CGCGCUGCCACUUCCAAAUUUCUCCUUAUUUCUCUUCGGUUUCAAGGAGGAGAGCAAUUGGAUUUCCUGAGAUCAAGAUCGGACCUGCGGCACCGGAAAAAUGUCGUUCUCGGAUUCGGAAACAUCCUCGCAUGGGGAAUACAAGAAUUUCCGCCAGAUCAGCCGCGAUCGUAUAUUGCACGAGAUGCUCCAAGAUUCCAAAGGAGGAUCAUCAUGGAAGGUACUCAUCAUGGACAAAGUUACAGUAAAAGUGUUAUCUCACACAUGCAAAAUGGCAGAUAUCACUGAUCAAGG